AGUGCCAAGAGCCCCAGGUGCAGAGAGGUCUGCAGGGAAUCAGUGCCAAGAGCUGCCUGUGCCUGCCUGUGUUCCUGCAGUUCUCCUUCCUGUUCUCCCUGGGCUGGAGAGACCUGCCUGCCCUGUGUUUAUUGGAGCAGAGGGAUGGGAUUAAAUUUGUCCAGAAGGUUUGUUCACGGACACUUGUUUUCUGACAGGCAGUGCCAUUUUCCUUUUGCCUUUCCCAAGUUUUUCCAAGUGCUGCCCAGCACGGGGAUCCGUGUGCUGGGACAGUGAUUGGCAGGAGGAAGGGGAGCCUUGGCCUCACCUGCCCAGCUCAGGCCAGGCCAAAGCCCUGAUCCAGCCCAGCUCUGCCAAGUGCCCUGGGCUGGGAGCAGCCAAAGGCAAGAGGCUGCAGCCCCGCCGGCCGGGCUGGGGGCUCCUGGUGCUGCCCGUGGGGUGGGAUGCUGGAAUUGCCUCUCUGGGUGUGUGCUGAGCUCUGGCUGCAGGGCACUGUCAGGCCUUGGUGGCUGUGAGUUCCUGUUCUUCUCCCUGGGAAACUGGAAAGAGUUAUUCCUUGGAUUGCAGAAAUGUUUUCUGAAACCUGUCCCCUUCUUUGUGCCUUUUGCUGACAGAUCUUCUCUUUCUGCCUUUGCAU